UACGAGGGGAGCACGCGUUGUUCGGAUUUACUGGGCGUAAAGGGCGCGUAGGCGGCGUGACUCGUCACUUGUGAAAUCUCCGGGCUUAACUCGGAACGGUCAAGUGAUACUGUCGUGCUAGAGUACAGAAGGGGCAACUGGAAUUCUCGGUGUAGCGGUGAAAUGCGUAGAUAUCGAGAGGAACACCUGCGGCGAAGGCGGGUUGCUGGGCUGAUACUGACGCUGAUGCGCGAAAGCCAGGGGAGCGAACGGG
rnacentral:rRNA from 1 species